GCGGUGGACGUGGAAGCAGCAGUGGAGGAGGAGGAUGAGGUAGCCAACACUGUUUUUUAUUUAUAUAUAAAUUUUAAUUGGGGUAGCCCCCAAAAUAUUGGGACAUAUAAAAAAAAGACAACUGUUCCGCGAGUAGCUGUUGAGAUUAUAGUUGCGCAGACACUUUGUUGACUCUAGAGAACCUCGGGCCAAUCGCACAUCCCCGUGGCGGCGACUUUGCAUGCGGAUGUCAUCCAUAUCAACUUUCGAUGCCAGUUUCUACGCCUACCAUGGUAACCAGGGGUAACAGGAAAUCAGGGUUCAAUUCCGUACAGGGACCCUGAGAAACGGCCACCACAUGCAAGGAAGGCAGCAGGCG